AUCUAGCUGGCGAGUCCCAAAAAGAACGAAUCGUGCGGCCUGGAU
rnacentral:hammerhead_ribozyme from 1 species